rnacentral:snRNA from 1 species
AUCGCUUCUCAGCCUUUUGGCUAAGAUCAAAUGUAGUAUCUGUUCUUAUCAGAUUGCAGCUAUUUAUCAAAAAGAGCCCUGAUCUGCCUACGCAGUCACCACCCUUCCCCAGCUCUCACUCACCAGGAGCAGCUACACUGAAAGCAGCUAAUUUGAUCUGGUAUUUACUAUCAUAUUUCUAAAUACUAUGUUAUCACCAUCA